rnacentral:rRNA from 1 species
GACGAACGCUGGCGGCGGGCUUAACACAUGCAAGUCGAACGAAGUGGCGAACGGGUGAGUAACGCGUAAUCAACCUGCCCUUCAGAGGGGGACAACAGUGGGAAACGACUGCUAAUACCGCAUACUGAAGGGGGGGAUUGCGUCGGAUUAGCUAGGUGGGGUGGUAACGGCCCACCAAGGCGAUGAUCAGUAGCCGGGCUGAGAGGAUGAACGGCCAAAUUGGGACUGAGACAAGGCUCAGAAUCCUACGGGAGGCCGCAGGGGGGAAUCUUCCGCAAUGGAGGAAAGUCUGACUGAGCAAAGCCGGGGGAGUGAUGACGGCCUUCGGGUUGUAAAGCUCUGUUAAUCGGGACGCGGUACCGGAAUAGAAAGCCACGGCUAACUACGUGCCAGCAGCCGCGGUAAUAC